UACGUAGGGUGCAAGCGUUAAUCGGAAUUACUGGGCGUAAAGCGUGCGCAGGCGGUUUUGUAAGUCAGAUGUGAAAUCCCCGGGCUUAACCUGGGAACUGCGUUUGAAACUACAAGGCUAGAGUGUGGCAGAGGGGGGUGGAAUUCCACGUGUAGCAGUGAAAUGCGUAGAGAUGUGGAGGAACACCGAUGGCGAAGGCAGCCCGCUGGGCUAACACUGACGCUCAUGCACGAAAGCGUGGGGAGCAAACAGG
rnacentral:rRNA from 1 species